rnacentral:rRNA from 1 species
AGGGCACAAGGCGGAUGCCUAGGCACUAGGAGCCGAAGAAGGACGUGACAAGCUGCGAAAAGCCGCGGGUAGGAGCAAAUAUCCGACAAUCCGCGGAUAUCCGAAUGGAGGAAUCCGGCUGUAGUAAUGUACAGUCAUCCACAGGUGAAUAAAAUAGUCUGUGGAGGGGAACGCGGGGAACUGAAACAUCUAAGUACCCGUAGGAGAAGAAAGAGAGAUCGAUUUCCUAAGUAGCGGCGAGCGAAAGGGAAAGAGGCCAAACCGAUAGUUUACUAUCGGGGUUGCGGGCUAUCAGAAAGGACGUAUGAUGUAUAGUCGAAGAGGAAUGGAACUUCCCACCGAAGAGGGUAAAGGUCCCGUAGACGAAAUGCAGCAUAUACCCAAGAUAGUACCAGAGUAGCACCGGACAAGUGGAACCCGGUGUGAAGCCGGGGGGCCCACCCCCCAAGCCUAAAUACUACCUAGUGACCGAUAGCGCAUAGUACCGUGAGGGAAAGGUGAAAAGAACCCCGGGAGGGGAGUGAAAAAGAACCUGAAACCUUGUGCUUACAAGCAAUGGGAGCGCAAGUGACCAUGUACUUUUUGUAGAACGGGCCAACGAGUUAUGGUAUGUAGCGAGGUUAAGGUGUAAAGCACCGGAGCCGAAGGGAAACCGAGUCUUAAGAGGGCGAGUAGUUACAUGCUGUAGACCCGAAACCGGGUGACCUAUCCAUGAGCAGGUUGAAGUAACCGUAAAAGGUUAUGGAGGACCGAACCUAUAUCUGUGAAAAAGGUUAGGAUGACUUGUGGAUAGCGGUGAAAUUCCAAUCGAACUCGGAGAUAGCUGGUUCUCCUCGAAAUAGCUUUAGGGCUAGCCUUACGGAGAGAUACGCGGGGGUAGAGCACUGAAUGUUCUAGGGGCCUUCACCGGUUACCGAAAACUAUCAAACUCCGAAUACCGCAGUAUUAGCCGUGGGAGUCAGACUACGAGAGAUAAGUUCCGUGGUCAAAAGGGAAACAGCCCAGACCUACAGCUAAGGUCCCAAAAUGUAAGUUAAGUGGAGAAGGAUGUGGAGCUGCACAGACAACUAGGAUGUUGGCUUAGAAGCAGCCACUCAUUUAAAGAGUGCGUAAUAGCUCACUAGUCGAGUGACUCUGCGCCGAAGAUAAACGGGGCUAAAACUUACUACCGAAGCUUAGGAUGCAGCAAUGCAUGGUAGAGGAGCAUCGUAUACGGGCAGAAGCCGAGCUGUAAGGCGAGGUGGACUGUAUACGAGAGAGAAUGUUGGCAUAAGUAGCGAGAGGCAGGUGAGAAUCCUGUCCGCCGAAAAUCUAAGGUUUCCUGAGGAAGGUUCGUCCACUCAGGGUUAGUCGGGACCUAAGCCGAGGGCGAAAGCCGUAGGCGAUGGACAACAGGUUGAUAUUCCUGUACCACCGAAAUCUGUUUGAGCGAAGUGGGGACACAGAAGGAUAGGUUGAGCACGCCGUUGGUAGAGCGUGUCCAAGCGUCAAGGGAGAUAAGACAGGCAAAUCCGUUUUAUCAAUUCUGAGGCGUGAUGGGGUGACCGAAUGGUCGGAAGCAACUGAUUUCACACUGUCAAGAAAAGCCGCUAGUGAGGACGUAGGUGCCCGUACCGCAAACCGACACAGGUAGAUGAGGAGAGAAUCCUAAGGCGAGCGAGAGAACUAUUGUUAAGGAACUCGGCAAAAUGACCCCGUAACUUCGGGAGAAGGGGUGCCAGGGAAACCUGGCCGCAGUGAAAUGUCCCAGGCGACUGUUUACCAAAAACACAGGUCUCUGCUAAAGCGAAAGCUGAAGUAUAGGGGCUGACGCCUGCCCGGUGCUGGAAGGUUAAGGGGAAGUGUUAGCGCAAGCGAAGCACAGAACUUAAGCCCCAGUAAACGGCGGCCGUAACUAUAACGGUCCUAAGGUAGCGAAAUUCCUUGUCGGGUAAGUUCCGACCCGCACGAAAGGCGUAACGAUCUGGGAACUGUCUCAACAAUAGACUCGGUGAAAUUGUAGUACCGGUAAAGAUGCCGGUUACCCGCAGCAGGACGGAAAGACCCCAUGGAGCUUCACUGUAGCUUGAUAUUGAGUUUCGGCGUUGCAUGUACAGGAUAGGUGGGAGACAUUGAAGUCAGGACGCAAGUCUUGGCGGAGUCACCGUUGGGAUACCACCCUUGUAACGUUGAGAUUCUAACGGCAUGCCGUGAACCGGCAUCCGGACAGUGUCAGGUGGGCAGUUUGACUGGGGCGGUCGCCUCCUAAAGAGUAACGGAGGCGCCCAAAGGUUCCCUCAGCGCGGACGGAAAUCGCGCGAAGAGUGUAAAGGCAGAAGGGAGCUUGACUGCGAGACAGACAAGUCGAGCAGGGACGAAAGUCGGGCUUAGUGAUCCGGUGGUUCCGAGUGGAAGGGCCAUCGCUCAACGGAUAAAAGCUACCCUGGGGAUAACAGGCUGAUACCCCCCAAGAGUUCACAUCGACGGGGGUGUUUGGCACCUCGAUGUCGGCUCGUCUCAUCCUGGGGCUGAAGUAGGUCCCAAGGGUUGGGCUGUUCGCCCAUUAAAGAGGUACGCGAGCUGGGUUCAGAACGUCGUGAGACAGUUCGGUCCCUAUCCGCUGUGGGCGUUGGAAAUUUGAGUGGAGCUGUCCCUAGUACGAGAGGACCGGGAUGGACGUAGCUCUGGUGCACCAGUUGUUCUGCCAAGGGCAUAGCUGGGUAGCUACCUACGGACGGGAUAAGCGCUGAAAGCAUCUAAGUGCGAAGCCCCCCACAAGAAAAGAUUUCCUCCUUUAAGGUAAGACUCGUGGGAGACUACCACGUUGA